rnacentral:tRNA from 2 species
GCACCUGUAGCUCAGUUGGAUAGAGUAGCGGUUUCCGAAGCCGUUGGUCGCUGGUUCGAAUCCAGUCAGGUGCG